rnacentral:rRNA from 1 species
AUGAACGCUGGCGGCGUGCCUCAUCCCUGCAAGUCGCGCGAACGGACGAGAAGCUUGCUUCUCUGAUGUUAGCGGCGGACGGGUGAGUAACACGUGGAUAACCUACCUAUAACACUGGGAUAACUUCGGGAAACCGGAGCUAAUACCGGAUAAUAUUUUGAACCGCAUGGUUCAAAAGUGAAAGACGGUCUUGCUGUCACUUAUAGAUGGAUCCGCGCUGCAUUAGCUAGUUGGUAAGGUAACGGCUUACCAAGGCAACGAUGCAUAGCCGACCUGAGAGGGUGAUCGGCCACACUGGAACUGAGACACGGUCCAGACUCCUACGGGAGGCAGCAGUAGGGAAUCUUCCGCAAUGGGCGAAAGCCUGACGGAGCAACGCCGCGUGAGUGAUGAAGGUCUUCGGAUCGUAAAACUCUGUUAUUAGGGAAGAACAUAUGUGUAAGUAACUGUGCACAUCUUGACGGUACCUAAUCAGAAAGCCACGGCUAACUACGUG